UCGCGGAGCUCCGCGCCGAGUAGAGCGA
rnacentral:sRNA from 1 species